AUACGUAGGGAGCAAGCGUUGUCCGGAAUUACUGGGCGUAAAGGGUGCGUAGGUGGCCAAAUAAGUCAGGUGUGAAAGACCGGGGCUCAACCCCGGGGUUGCACUUGAAACUGUAUGGCUUGAGUACAGGAGAGGGAAGUGGAAUUCCUAGUGUAGCGGUGAAAUGCGUAGAUAUUAGGAGGAACACCAGUGGCGAAGGCGACUUUCUGGACUGUAACUGACACUGAGGCACGAAAGCGUGGGGAGC
rnacentral:rRNA from 1 species